CGCGGCCUCGGUGAAGGGCGGAGAAAAAGAACUGUCAACCGUUCACUACACGGAGCGAUUUCAUGUUACGUCACCAGGCUAUCUGAUGAAAUAUUUCCACUCACACCCUCUUCACGGAAUGCAGUCCAGCACCAGUUUCUUCCUGUCAGCCAGCCGAGUCCGAUCAAGACGGACAUGUACCGUAUCCUUCACCUCGUUAUCCAUCAUCGUAUCCAUCAUCUCCAGCGCUUAUUGUGACUUAGUCACUAACGUAAUAAAACAGCCGUUUUUUAUUA